rnacentral:ncRNA from 2 species
UUGUUAGGCAUUUACCUAACUGGAAAUGCUUAAAUGAAUUAGCGUUACAAGUGGGUUCUGACCGGUAAGCGGUCAUGGCGAAAUGGGAUGAACCAUACGUCUGAAUAAGGUGCCGAAAUGUACUAUCACUGAUACCAUAAAGGGAGUCCAUGUAUUUAGACAGCAGGUCGGUGCCCCUAAAAGCAGGUAUCCGCUAAAGAGUGUGUUAAAACUCACCUGCCGAAUACUAGGGCCCCGAAAAUGAAUGGCGCAUAUAGUACUACCGAUCUCAGACAUCAGUUCUAUUGAACUGAGAGUAGGGGGAUGUGGACAUUUUUGUGAAGGUGCAAUGUGAGUUGGACUGGAAGAAUGUCUAUUACAGAUCCUAAUUGAAGUAGCGAUUAUCCAGGCUUGUAUCCUGGGGGCUGAUGAGGAGUAGGGUUUCUGGACAACUUAAACAGAUCCAGAGUUAGUCGAUCCUAAUCUCAAUAAUGGGAGAAAGGGAGUACAGUUGAUAUUCUGUAACUGACAACAGUUCGCGGCAACGCAUACUAUUUUUCUCCGCCAAUCUUAUACCGUUGGUAGGGAUCUCUUUCCUACAUGACAGUACUAAUACCCAGGGAAACUGGUCAUCAGGCGAACUGCGGCGUUCUGCUGGCAAAACAUAGCUUCGGUUAUGUCAAUGGCUAUUGGAUUGGUCCAUGAAGCGAAAAAUAGUUUACUGUGUCACUCGUACCGAUAACCGCAUCAGGUCUUCUAGGUAAGUAGCCUAUGGCCAUUGAGGCAUGAUAGUUCAGGGAAUUCGGCCAAUUAGAGCUGUAACUUCGGGAUAAAGCUUGGCUCUGAUGAAAAUCAGAACCGAUUGUUACGCGGAGAGCCCAACUGUUUAAUAAAAACGUAGUGUCGCGCUGUGGUAGUAUAGCCAGUGAACGCGACAUGAAUCCUGCUCAGUGCUGUGUCUGUUAAUAUGGUUCAAGCCAACGAAGCACCGGUAAAUAGCUGGGGUAACUAUGACUCUUAUCAAAGUAG